AUACUCUGGUUUCUCUUCAGAUUGUGUAAAUCUUUUGCCUUUUACUAAAGAUUCUCAUGGAGAGAAACAACUCUUGAGACUUAAACCAGUUUUUUGAGGCUCUGUUUCGGCAAGGCU